CUUGAUGAAUGAAAAGAAAGGAUGAAUUCAAAUUGAUCAAUAAUUUUGGCUAUGCCACAAGAUAUUCCAGACUCUGAGGAAUGAGAAACAUUCCUAUACAAUGAAGCAUAAGCCCCCUCA